CACCUUGCAGCUUGAAUUGGGUAGAUCCUGGGAACUUUUUUCUGUUCGUGAUGUUCCAGAGAGCUGAUGCCAUGCAGGGAGAGCAAACUGAAGGGUCAAGAGGAUGUCAGACCUAGACCAUGCUUUGACUUCUGCAGUAGGUAUAUAGCUGGCUGAAGUUCAGUACCAUGUUUCCUGUAGGAUUUGUCUGGAAAAUGAUGGCCUUUACUGCUGGCACCAAUGCAUGAACGGAAGGUUUCUUAAAAGCUGCCUGGCACACCACCCUAAAUCUUAUAAGAUUACCAUGAAAUGGAGAGACUGCUUACCUGCAUUUUGCAACAGACUCCCUCGUACUGCAGUGCUGAAUACUGGCUGAUACCUCAGACAGUGUAAACAAAGGCAGGAGAAAACAAGCAUGCUUCCUCCCCUGAAGAGAGUAUAGGCAUGUGAUUGCUGCAGAAGUAACUGCCACAUCAAGGACAAAGAUGGUGAGCUUGGAACAUAAUGCUCUGCAGUUAUCAGUGCCCUGCCUGAAAAGCACAAGCUCCUACAGUAGAUGACAGAUUAACUGAUUGAGAAGAAAUGGUGUGCUGAGAUGUUACUGAGUAGAAGAGGUGCUGGAUGCAGCUGCUGGCACAAUGGCAGGCAGUGUGGUCCAGUUACCCUGUUUAUGAACUCCUUUUACCCAAAUCUUUAAGCACCACCAUCUGAAUGCCUUCAGCUUCCUUUUGGGCUCAAGCUCUAAUAGCAGCAUCAAACCUCACCCUUGCUGACUGUGGACCUUGAAAAAGAAAAGGAUGAUGUCUGAUGUUUUUUUCAGAUCUUUCUGAAGGAGAAAUACAGAUAAAAGCAAAGCUCUUUGUGACUGAUUUUUUCACUAUCUGCUUGAAAGGCGGUGGGUCAGAAUUAAGGCAUUUUUGCUGUGGAGGAAAUGUGUGGGCUGUUGGCUGCAAGCCAGUAGCCACUAACAUCCCUGCUGCACUAGGAACACUUGAAUGAAGUGGGCGUCAACCUCGGGAGAGCGGGCAGCACUACCUACCUCAGAGGAAAGUCUCCUCAUUGAGGUUCAAGGAGUAAAAAUAUUGAAUGGGGAUAAACUAGUCUGGUAGAUUUUUCUGAGGGGGACAGUGAAAAUGCAAAAAUCAUCAUCGAGUCCUCUAAGGUUCUGUGCCUGUCAGGUCCUAUUCAUUCUGCUGGAGAAGAAAUCCGUGCAGUCCUCGACUUCUCUCACAAUUUUAAAGUUUCUUCUUUUAAUUCUGUUUUCUCAACACAAAGAACAAUGAAAUAACACCCAGAAACUUUUAGUCAGUAGUUUGUGCUACAGCCACUCUUUUGGUACCCUUUUUCAAAUCCAGCGUAGAGAUCUGAAGUGCGUCAAAUGAUUCCUAGGAUAGAAUUUAUUAAGAUACUCAUCCUGUCUGUGUCCAGCUGAAUGGCCACUGGGAAAAAUAACAAUGAUUUCUAGAGUUCCUUUGUACCACUAAAUUCUGACUAUGAAGGACCAAACAGAAUACUCUCAGUGUCACCCUCCUCAUUUUUACCUGCCCUAGUUACAGAGUUAAGUCAUCUUACUGAGUCUGUCAUCAACUCUAGCCAGUAUAAAUAUGAGGAUGUAUUUCUUGAAUCAAGUCCACCAUCAAAACUUCAUACCUAUGAAAUAGAUUUUCUUUCCACCUCCAGCAAUGUUAUAUGCAAGCAAUACCUUUCUAUGUGUCUGAAACUACAGAUCUGUUCUCAGCAUGUGUAAGGGAAAGGAGCUUCCAUGCUUAUGUGUGGCGUCAUUGAAUUAUUACAUUCGUUUUUUCAAACAAGAAAAUGACAGUGAUGGAAAAAGGGAAUAAAGUGUUUUGUCUAAGUGUUGUUAGUGGACAAAUAUGGCUAUAUAAAGACAGAAUGGCCAGAAUAGAGCAUCACAAAUACUUUAAAAAGCUGCUCUUCUCUCAUGGGAAAUAAAGAGAACCUGGACAAGUGACGAAACAACUUUCAUGAAAAUCUUGAUGUUUACAUGGUAGCAAUUUAGGUUUGGUGUACCAUUGUGCAUGUCAGCUCAACAGUGGUCUAAUCUGAGUUUAGAGAAAGCUAGAGGCUAGAGAAUUCAAAAUGACAGCUGACAAAGAUGAGAAAAGUGAGUCUAAAAAGGAUUUGGUAAAACCAGGCCCAUGAUCUGCAGCAGGUCUACUAAAGCAAAUAAGGUAAUUAUAAUUACUUCGCUUUUAGACAACUUGCCUUUCAAAUUCUGGUUUUGGAAAUGACCUGUUACAAUAUCCUUGUGGACAAUUGGCUUGCAGUGUCCUAUCUCCUGGGCAAAAAGCUUGGGGAACUGAGGAAAUAGUAACUCAACGGCUGUAUAGUUCCUGUGGCUGAUAAAUUGGAAAUCACCAAACAAGCAACAGAGUAGGUCCAGGGAUAUUGGUGGGUAGUAUCUGAUAUGACUGAAUUCUGUAAUUUCAGAAAGAGAAAUGUACUUGCUAGAGUGAAAAAUAAUUGCUGGACUUCUAAUGGGUUGGAAAAGUGAAUUAGAGCUGCAGCUUGAAAAAAGAGGAUGAGGAACAUGAAGACAGCAGAGCCCAUUAAACAGUGGCUGGAGUGUGAAUUGCAAUUGCCGUGCUAAGUGUGGACGUCUAUGAGAAGACACAGAUGAAAGCCAAGGAGUGAGAUGAGGAGAAAGACCUAGAAGAAAGCUUAAUGGCAGCAACAUAGGACGGAGAGAAGGAAUAGUGCAGAGAAGGUUUGGAUGCACUACUGGAAGAUGCUUCAGCUAGAAAAAUGGUCUAAGGUGUAAAAUACUCAGGGAAGUGGAAGAAUGCAACUCUAAUGUCUUCUAAUAUGAAGAACCUUUUUUUUUCUCAGAUCCUUGGAGCAAGCAGCAAGUGAAAAAAUCCGCAAAAUAAAUGUUUGAAGUAACUACACUUUCUGCUCUGAGAGAAAAGUUUAAAAUGUCUAACUUAUUUUUAUGGAGAGAAAGAAAAUGUGCCAGAGGGCUGAGAGUUCUUAAGACCAAGUUAUAAACCUUUGAAAAUAGGAUUUUAUAAUGGAAAUGCAGAGAUGAUUAACUAUUGCAAGCACCUCUAAGAGUGACACCUCUAUAGUAAAUUACAUUCAAAUUAAUAUAAAACUGUAAAGAUUCCCUGACAGCUUUGAUUAUGUAAGUUGAUUUUAGUAGUUAAAUGUUGACUUUUUAUAAUGCAUUCUCUAAAUAUUAUACUGAAUGCUGCAUCAUAUAUAACAAUUACCAUGUCAGAGUGCUAUUUUGUGUAAAUUAAAUUAUU